GGAAACGAUGGCUAAUACCGCAUAAUAGCUUCGGCUCAAAGAGGGGGACCUUCGGGCCUCUCGCGUCAGGAUAUGCCCAGGUGGGAUUAGCUAGUUGGUGAGGUAAUGGCUCACCAAGGCGACGAUCCCUAGCUGGUCUGAGAGGAUGAUCAGCCACACUGGAACUGAGACACGGUCCAGACUCCUACGGGAGGCAGCAGUGGGGAAUAUUGCACAAUGGGCGCAAGCCUGAUGCAGCCAUGCCGCGUGUAUGAAGAAGGCCUUCGGGUUGUAAAGUACUUUCAGCAGUGAGGAAGGUGGUGUCGUUAAUAGCGGCAUCAUUUGACGUUAGCUGCAGAAGAAGCACCGGCUAACUCCGUGCCAGCAGCCGCGGUAAUACGGAGGGUGCGAGCGUUAAUCGGAAUUACUGGGCGUAAAGCGCAUGCAGGUGGUUUGUUAAGUCAGAUGUGAAAGCCCGGGGCUCAACCUCGGAAUUGCAUUUGAAACUGGCAGACUAGAGUACUGUAGAGGGGGGUAG
rnacentral:rRNA from 1 species